ensembl:lincRNA
UUUCUCUUCCCCUUCUCCUCUUCCUCCUCCUCCUUUUUUUUUCCCANNNNNNNNNNNNNNNUAGCCCUGGCUGUCCUGGAGCUCACUUUGUAGACCAGGCUGGCCUUGAACUCAGAAAUCCGCCUGCCUCCGCCUCCCGAGUGCUGGGAUUAAAGGUGUGCGCCUCCACGCCCGGCCCUANNNNNNNNNNNNNNNNNNNNNNNCUCCUUCUAAUGUAUUUUCUUGAGACUGUCCUGGAACACUCUAGAAACCUGGUUGGCCUUGAAUUCAGAUAUUCCCCUCCUUCUAUCUCCCAAGUCCUGGUAAACAUCACCAAGCCCAGCUAGAAAGUCAUUCUAGGAUCAGAAAUAAUAGUAUAGCAUGGUUACAUAUUUGGAUUUGCUGCAGGUAUUUCAGAAUCUUCAUAAUAAAAACUUAAAGCCAUUAAGGCAUGUAUUUUUAGAGCAUUGCUACAAGGCUGUCACUGUUCCUACUACAUUUUAAAGUGGAGAUCAGCUAGACAUGAGGGCACUGCCAGGAGUCUGCAGUGAAUGAUCCCAGGGUGAGGGUUAGUGGAAACACUCUUAGAAUGCUCCUUCUUAGAAGAAACAAAACUGAAACAACAACAGAAGCCAUUGUGCAGUGUAUGCCUGCAAUUCUAGCAGUUAGGAGACGGAGGCAAUGACAGCAACUACAGGCCAGCUUGGCCUACAUGUGACGAUGACCUCAAAACAAAUACAAGAAACCACCAUCUGAGGGAGCGUCCGUGAGAAGAAACAGGCACUUGUGCGUGUCACCACUGAGUGGUCUGGCAGAGGUUCUGAAUGUGGUCCCUGUGGCUCCAGUUGGAACUGGAGUACAGACAGUGCCCAUAACAGUAGACUCAACUGGAAAUGACUGAUGCAGUUCACCCAUCAGACCUAACCUUGGCCCAGCCCCUCAGGAACACAAAGGGCUGAGCAUCUCUUGUUAAGCCAGGGGCUGCACAGGGGCAAGGCAAAGUCAUCUCUGUGUACAUGGACAUUCAGUAUAUAUUUACCAUGGCUCAUAUGCAGGAGGCAGACCCUCUAUAUAAAGAAGGGGCCUCUCACCUCAGCUGGAAAGGAAAUCAGAAACAGGAGCCCCUCCCAAAGACCAAAAGAACAAGGCAGCAGACUUGGCCGUCAAGAAGGAGGACCUAGAACCAGUGGGGCAUCAAGAAGGAGGACCUAGAACCAGUGGGGCCUCUCCAGAUUGUAGUUACCCUAACUGAACCUGAACUGCUCCAGCCCCCCGAUGUACACAAAGAAACCAAGAGAACAAAAAGCCAACAACAAAAUAAAAAGAUGCCAAAAGGGACACAAACGGUGGGGAGACUUGCUAGGCAAAAAGACUCUGCUCCCUGUCAUGAUAGAAAGACAUGGUCA